rnacentral:rRNA from 1 species
AGCGAACGCUGGCGGCAGGCUUAACACAUGCAAGUCGAGCGGGCGUAGCAAUACGUCAUCGUCUUACGGGUGAGUAACGCGUGGGAACGUACCUUUUGGUUCGGAACAACACAGUGAAACUUGUUCUCAUACCGGAUAAGCCCUUACGGGCAAAGAUUUAUCGCCGAAAGAUCGGCCCGCGUCUGAUUCGCUAGUUGGUUAGGUAACGGCUCACCAAGGCGCCGAUCAGUAGCUGGUCUGAGAGAAUGAGCAGCCACAUUGGUACUGAGACACGGCCCAAAAUCCUACGGGAGGCAGGAGUGGGGAAUAUAGGAAAAUGGGGGCAAUCCUGAUCGAGCCAGGCCGCGUGAGUGAUGAAGGCCCUAGGGUUGUAAAGCUGUUUUGUGCGGGAAGAUAAUGACGGUACCGAAAGAAUAAGCCCCGGCUAACUUCGUG